CAAAUAAACUGUUAGGUGAGACUCCUACGUGAACACACGCUAUCGCCCAGGAACAUCCAGAGAUGCCAACGGGUUAAACAGGUAUUGUCGAGUUAAGGCACUAUCCAGAUAGCUAGCAUGUGCUUACGUCACGUAGUGUUAAAACUGAACGAUUGGUUAUAACG
rnacentral:sRNA from 17 species